rnacentral:tRNA from 1 species
CUCGUGUCACCAGUUCAA